AAGAUCAAAUUUUAUAAAUGUUUUAAAAUAUUAUGUGCAUGAUAUGAUUUUCUCACAAACAUAUUGUCUACAGGUUAUGUUGCCAAUGAGUGUCAAUGUUCUGACCUAAAUCGAGUACUAAAAUUACAUUUUUAAUACUUGGUUUGUAUGUGAGGUCCGAAUAGAGCUUACGAUAUGGUUUGUAACCUGUACUGUUGACAUCACUCCGUUUGAUCGUUUGUAGAUACCUAUUUGAUGGUCAGUUUUAAUAUAGCUUUACAUAUUCAAUCUAAUACAUACCCCG
rnacentral:lncRNA from 1 species